UUACUAACUAGAAAAAUUGCAUUUCCUUGCAGAAAAUGCGUGGAAAUGCUGAGUGCUGAAAGCUGAAAAAGCAAUGCUAAACUGCUAAUAAAACAUGGAGAAAGGUAUAAAUGUUAAAGCUGUUGAAGGGGUGAAAAAGAAAUAUAAGUUGGAUAAUUGUUUAAUUGGUUGAAGGACAAAUAGUAUGAAUAUGCUCUAUAAAAGGAAAUUUUAUUCAUGCUGAAAGAGGCUAGAAAAAUGUCUAAAAUUGCACAAAGUUUGAAUGAAGAAGGAAAUUGCCUUUAAAGGCAGGAAGGUGGGAAGUGGCAUAAGUUUAAUUUUUUAAGUAUUAGAAAGGUUUGAAUCAGUUUGAAUCAGUUCAAAUUAGUUUGAAAAAUUAAAUGAUAAAUCAUCACUGAGUGACUUUAAAAUGUGAAAAAUCUAAAUGUAUAUAAAUUCUAAAUACACCCCAUAAUGUCCUCAAUGAGCUCAAAUUUUAAAGCCCUGAAUGGUUUCUGUAGGUCAAAGGUCAUGUGAGGAGAUAGGGGCUGAAGUUCUUUCAAGCGCUCUAGUAAAGGGUUUUAAGUGUCAUCCCCAGUGCUAUGUGUGCUGAGCCUGGCUUCAUGUGUCUCAUAUGGCCAUUAGAAGCAGCUUUCCAGUCAGCUGUGUGUCUCCAGGUGCACUAAUUGGUUGCCAUGGGGACCUUGGAUGCAUAACUAUAGCAGGAGAAAGAAGGCUUGAAGCUAAGGAAACAGGACUCCAAGUAGGCCCUGACGCUCAUCCUCUGUAUCUAUUCCUGAUAAGGAGCUUAUGAGAACACAAGACUCUGCUGAACACAUUAAUACAAUUUAUUAUCACAAUCCUCAAAACACCCCAUAAUAUCUUCAAUGAGCUGAAUUUUAGAAGCCCAGAAUGGUUUCUGUAGCUCAAAGUUUGUGGGUGGAGAUAGGUGGCGAAGCAGACACAUAUUAACUGUGUGUACAAGCAGCUGAACUGCAAGGUAGACCUCAUAAAGCAACAAGUACAAGAGUGUGUGUGUGUGUGUGUGUGUGUCGUUAAUGACUGCAUCCUAAACAGCUGUGAGAUCAAAGGCAAAUCACUGACCUACUGUUUGAAUGAGAAGCAGCUGAACUGCAGAGGAUUUAGAGGCUCUAAACUUCUUCACAUAGCGUGAUUUCCUUAAGUCACAGAAUGAAAAUAAGAACAUCGUACGAAUCCUCCGCCCUUCAUGAACACAAUGAUGUCUUUUUCAUGUCUGUACUUCGAAAAAUGAGGCCACAACAGCGAGUUAAAAAAGUCUGAGCCUGAGUGGCGAUAAGGAUUUUCUUGGAGAAAAAAUACAUUAUGGUCAAUGGGAGAGAUUUCCGCCUUUUUUGGACAGUUGGUCACCUGCUGGCCAAGGGGUACGAUUUAAUGAUUUGAAACCUCUUUUGUGAGAAGCAGGACACAUAUACCUCCAUUUUGAUGUAUUAUUUGUGUCAGUGGAGUGAGAUUUGUGGGCGUGGGAGCGAUAUAUUCGAGCGAGGUUCUGUCGAUCAGAGACGAGGUCUGCACUCUAGCUGAUGACAUCAUCACUCUAAACUCUCCAAUACACACCCAUUAUAAAGCUUGAAAUUUGCUGAAAACCACAAGUUGCUUAAAGCUAAAUUGUGGAAAAACUGUAAGAGAUAUCAAAAAACUGAGUACAACUGUAAUAGUCGACAAGUGAAUGAACAUUUUAAAGCAAAAAUGAGGUCUCUAGGUGAAAGUAUGCAGAAGUUACAAGGUUCAGAAGGUGGAAGAAAAACAGGAAGAAUUGGAAGAUUUCCCCAUUGACUUCAAUGUUAAAAUUUUUGCAUAAAAAGUUAAAAAAAUCAAAAAGUAUAAAGGGUAGAAAAGUGAAAAGUAAUCGCCGUCAUGUCCUGAAGGAGAGGAAUAGUUUAAAGUUUGAACGGUUGAAAUCGCACAAAGUGGAGAAGAGUUAUAAAGUGCCAAAAAAUGGCGGAAGAAAAAUAAUAAUAAUAAUAAUAACUAGAAAAUUUGCAUUUCCUUGCAGAAAAUGCGUGGAAAUGCUGAGUGCUGAAAGCUGAAAAAGCAAUGCUAAACUGCUAAUAAAACAUGGAGAAAGGUAUAAAUGUAAAAGCUGUUGAAGGGGUAAAAAAAUAUAUAUAAGUUAAAUAAUUGUGAAAAUGGUUGGAGGAUAAAUAGUAUGAAUAUGCUCCUCAAAUUGAAAUUUGAUUCAUGCUGAUAGAGGCUGGAAAAUGUUCUACAAUUACACAAAGUUUGAAUGAAGAAGUAAAUUACCUUAAAAGGCAAGUAAGUGAAAAGUGGCAUAAGUUUAAGUUGUAGUACUAGAAGUAGUAUGAUAAUAGGUAGUUGUAGUAGUGAUAUUAGUAGUCAUGUAAGCAGUAGAAGUAGUUUUAGAAUUGAAGAAGUAGAAGUCAAAGCAGUAGAGCUCGUGGUAGAAGUAAGAGUAGAAGUAAAAAAAUAUUAAGAGAAGCAAGAGCAGUGGAGGUGGAAGUGAAGAUACAAGUUAAGGUGACAUAAGUAGUAAUUGUAGUGGUAGAACUGGGAUUUUGCUUGAAGAAUUAAAACAUACAUAAAUAAUGAGAAUGAUUUUGAAGUGGGAAAAACUUAAAAAUUAGACGUCCUAAUGUGUUUAACAGGUUUGAAGUAUCCCAAAGGUUUGAAUCAGUUUGAAUGAGUUUGGAUUUGUCUGAAGAAUUUCAUAAUGCAUGAAUAAUGAGAAUAAUUUUAAAGUGGGAAAAAGUUAAAUGAAUAAAAAUCCUGAGUACACCCCAUAUUGUCCUCAAUGAGCUGAAUUUUUGGAGCCCUGAAUGGUUUCUGUAGGUCAAAGUUUGUAGUCCUCGCUUUGUGGGUCUUUUCUCAUAGACCUCACAAAGCAGCAAGUACAAGAUUUUGUGUGUGUGUCUCGUUAAUGACUGCAUCCUAAACAGCUGUGAGAUCAAAGGCAUUAACUGACCUACUGUUUGACUGAGAAGCAGCUGAACUGCAGAGGAUGUAAAGCCUCUGAACUUCUUCACAUUGUGUGAUUUCCUUAAGUCCCAGAAUGAAAAUAAGAACAUCGUACGAAUCCUCCGUCCUUCAUGAACACAAUGAUGUGUUUUUCAUGUCUGUACUUCGAAAAAUGAGGCCACAACAGCGAGUUAAAAAAGUCUGAGCUUGAGCGAUGAUCCGGAUUUUCUUGGAGAAAAAUAACAUUACAGUCAAUGGGAGAGAUUUCCGCCUUUUUUGGACAGUUGGUCACCUGCUGGCCAAGGGGUACGAUUUAAUGAUUUGAAACCUCUUUUGUGAGAAGCAGGACACAUAUACCUCCAUUUUGAUGUAUUAUUUGUGUCAGUGGAGUGAGAUUUGUGGGCGUGGGAGCGAUAUAUUCGAGCGAGGUUCUGUCGAUCAGAGACGAGGUCUGCACUCUAGCUGAUGACAUCAUCACUCUAAACUCUCCAAUACACACCCAUUAUAAAGCUUGAAAUUUGCUGAAAACCACAAGUUGCUUAAAGCUAAAUUGUGGAAAAACUGUAAGAGAUAUCAAAAAACUGAGUACAACUGUAAUAGUCGACAAGUGAAUGAACAUUUUAAAACAAAAAUGAGGUCUCUAGGUGAAAGUAUGCAGAAGUUACAAGGUUCAGAAGGUGGAAGAAAAACAGGAAGAAUUGGAAGAUUUCCCCAUUGACUUCAAUGUUAAAAUUUUUGCAUAAAAAGUUAAAAAAAUCAAAAAGUAUAAAGGGUAGAAAAGUGAAAAGUAAUCGCCGUCAUGUCCUGAAGGAGAGGAAUAGUUUAAAGUUUGAACGGUUGAAAUCGCACAAAGUGGAGAAGAGUUAUAAAGUGCCAAAAAAUGGCGGAAGAAAAAUAAUAAUAACUAGAAAAUUUGCAUUUCCUUGCAGAAAAUGCGUGGAAAUGCUGAGUGCUGAAAGCUGAAAAAGCAAUGCUAAACUGCUAAUAAAACAUGGAGAAAGGUAUAAAUGUAAAAGCUGUUGAAGGGGUAAAAAAAUAUAUAUAAGUUAAAUAAUUGUGAAAAUGGUUGGAGGAUAAAUAGUAUGAAUAUGCUCCUCAAAUUGAAAUUUGAUUCAUGCUGAUAGAGGCUGGAAAAUGUUCUACAAUUACACAAAGUUUGAAUGAAGAAGUAAAUUACCUUAAAAGGCAAGUAAGUGAAAAGUGGCAUAAGUUUAAGUUGUAGUACUAGAAGUAGUAUGAUAAUAGGUAGUUGUAGUAGUGAUAUUAGUAGUCAUGUAAGCAGUAGAAGUAGUUUUAGAAUUGAAGAAGUAGAAGUCAAAGCAGUAGAGCUCGUGGUAGAAGUAAGAGUAGAAGUAAAAAAAUAUUAAGAGAAGCAAGAGCAGUGGAGGUGGAAGUGAAGAUACAAGUUAAGGUGACAUAAGUAGUAAUUGUAGUGGUAGAACUGGGAUUUUGCUUGAAGAAUUAAAAAAUACAUAAAUAAUGAGAAUGAUUUUGAAGUGGGAAAAACUCAAAAAAUUAGACGUCCUAAUGUGUUUAACAGGUUUGAAGUAUCCCAAAGGUUUGAAUCAGUUUGAAUGAGUUUGGAUUUGUCUGAAGAAUUUCAUAAUGCAUGAAUAAUGAGAAUAAUUUUAAAGUGGGAAAAAGUUAAAUGAAUAAAAAUCCUGAGUACACCCCAUAUUGUCCUCAAUGAGCUGAAUUUUUGGAGCCCUGAAUGGUUUCUGUAGGUCAAAGUUUGUAGUCCUCGCUUUGUGGGUCUUUUCUCAUAGACCUCGCAAAGCAGCAAGUACAAGAUUUUGUGUGUGUGUCUCGUUAAUGACUGCAUCCUAAACAGCUGUGAGAUCAAAGGCAUUAACUGACCUACUGUUUGACUGAGAAGCAGCUGAACUGCAGAGGAUGUAAAGCCUCUGAACUUCUUCACAUAGCGUGAUUUCCUUAAGUCCCAGAAUGAAAAUAAGAACAUUGUACGAAUCCUCCGCCCUUCAUGAACACAAUGAUGUGUUUUUCAUGUCUGUACUCCAAGAAAUGUGGCCACAACAGUGAGUUAAAAAAGUCUGAGCCUGAGUGGCGAUAAGGAUUUUCUUGGAGAAAAAAUACAUUAGGGCUAAUGGGAGAGAUUUCCGCCUAUUUGAACAGUUGGUCACCUGCUGGCCAAGGGGUAGGAUUUAAUGAUUUGAAACCUCUUUUGUGAGAAGCAGGACACAUAUACCUCCAUUUUGAUGUAUUUUUUAUGUCUGUGGAGUGAGAUUUGUAGGCGUGGGAGCGAUAUAUUCGAGCGAGGUUCUGUCGAUCAGAGACGAAGUCUGCACUCUAGCUUUUCAAAUUGUCACUCUAGCCUCUCCAAUACACACCCAUUAUAAAGCUUGAAAUUUGCUGAAAACCACAAGUUGCUUAAAGCUAAAUUGUGGAAGAACUGUAAAAGAUAUCAAAAAACUGACUACAACUGUAAUAGUCGACAAGACAAUGAACAUUUUAAAGCAAAAAUGAGGUCUCUAGGUGAAAGUAUGCAGAAGUUAUAAGGUUCAGAAGGUGGAAGAAUAACAGGAAGAAUUGGAAGAUUUCCCCAUUGACUUCAAUGUUAAAAUUUUUGCAUAAAAAGUUAAAAAAAUCAAAAAGUAUAAAGGGUAGAAAAGUGAAAAGUAAUCGCCGUCAUGUCCUGAAGGAGAGGAAUAGUUUAAAGUUUGAACGGUUGAAAUCGCACAAAGUGGAGAAGAGUUAUAAAGUGCCAAAAAAUGGCGGAAGAAAAAUAAUAAUAAUAACUAGAAAAAUUGCAUUUCCUUGCAGAAAAUGCGUGGAAAUGCUGAGUGCUGAAAGCUGAAAAAGCAAUG
rnacentral:lncRNA from 1 species